CAGCAGCCGCGGGAAUACGUAGGGUGCGAGCGUUAAUCGGAAUUACUGGGCGUAAAGCGUGCGCAGGCGGUUAUAUAAGACAGAUGUGAAAUCCCCGGGCUCAACCUGGGAACUGCAGUUGAGACUGUAUGGCUAGAGUGUGUCAGAGGGGGGUAGAAUUCCACGUGUAGCAGUGAAAUGCGUAGAUAUGUGGAGGAAUACCGAUGGCGAGGGCAGCCCCCUGGGAUAACACUGACGCUCAUGCACGAAAGCGUGGGGAGCAAACAGGAUUAGAUACCCCGGUAGUCCCUGUCUCUUAUAC
rnacentral:rRNA from 1 species